rnacentral:misc_RNA from 1 species
AGCGCCCAUAUUUUAUGGCGCCUAAGGGUCCUUGAGCGUUACUAAGGUGACGGGCAUACACGACAAGACAAGAAGGUCUUCUUACAACCACCGAUGUCGCGACGUCCAUCGCUAGAGACUCAUUUUUGCGCCAGCCGCACAACAAGGAACGGGAGGCCAGUAUCCGCCCCCAAACCGGAACAUCUCCUAAAGAGAUGUUUGGUCGGGGGCAACACAAUGCGUGACACCCAGGCAGACGUGCCCUCAGCCUAAUGGCUUCGGGCGCAACUUGCGUUCAAAGACUCGAUGGUUCACGGGAUUCUGCAAUUCACACCAAGUAUCGCAUUUCGCUACGUUCUUCAUCGAUGCGAGAGCCGGGAUAUCCGUUGCCGAGAGUCGUUUGUGUUUCAGACUGACGCCGCUGCCCGCGAACGAGAAGCGACGAACAAUUCAGUAUUAAUUUCCUUGGCGCAGUCAGCGCCCGGUUGAUUUCGUUGGCCGGUGGACACCCGUGAGGGGUACACCUACCUUGGGUUCGCAAAUAGGGGACCAUAGGCCCCCCAAAGCUUGCCCGAUGUUUUUACUUGUUAACAGGUCAUUCUGCUAUUGCAGGAUUCGACAAUGAUCCUUCCGCAGGUUCACCUACGGAAACCUU